AGUCGAGCGGACAGAUGGGAGCUUGCUCCCUGAUGUUAGCGGCGGACGGGUGAGUAACACUUGGGUAACCUGCCUGUAAGACUGGGAUAACUCCGGGAAACCGGGGCUAAUACCGGAUGCUUGUUUGAACCGCAUGGUUCAAACAUAAAAGGUGGCUUCGGCUACCACUUACAGAUGGACCCGCGGCGCAUUAGCUAGUUGGUGAGGUAACGGCUCACCAAGGCAACGAUGCGUAGCCGACCUGAGAGGGUGAUCGGCCACACUGGGACUGAGACACGGCCCAGACUCCUACGGGAGGCAGCAGUAGGGAAUCUUCCGCAAUGGACGAAAGUCUGACGGAGCAACGCCGCGUGAGUGAUGAAGGUUUUCGGAUCGUAAAGCUCUGUUGUUAGGGAAGAACAAGUGCCGUUCAAAUAGGGCGGCACCUUGACGGUACCUAACCAGAAAGCCACGGCUAACUACGUGCCAGCAGCCGCGGUAAUACGUAGGUGGCAAGCGUU
rnacentral:rRNA from 1 species